rnacentral:rRNA from 1 species
UACGGGGGGUCCUAGCGUUGUUCGGAAUCACUGGGCGUAAAGCGUUUGUAGGUGGCUUUGUAAGUUGAAUGUGAAAGCCUGGGGCCUAACCUCAGAAGUGCAUUCAAUACUGCAGAGCUUGAGUAUGAGAGAGGAAGAUGGAAUACCUGGUGUAGUGGUGAAAUACGUAGAUAUCAGGUGGAACAUCGGUGGCGAAAGCGGUCUUCUGGCUUAAUACUGACACUGAAAAACGAAAGCGUGGGGAUCAAACAGG